GUGCCCUAUGGACAGCAUCACCCAGCUGCUGGCCCAGGACUCCUGCAGGCCAGGGGUCCCUGUUGGGAUGGGGACUCCUUCCUUGUUCCCAAAGCCCUGCCCUCACGCCAGCCACAGACCCAGCCAGCACCAGAACAGCUCUGGUUUUGGAGCUUUGCACGUGGCCUCACAGUCCCAAAGUGAAGGGCCUUGGGGUGAGCUGCUCGUCUCUGUGCUUUAAUCCAGCCCUCCUGGUGAUGCCGUGGCAGAGAACACUUUGCUCAGAUCUGUUAAUUGAAAUUUAAUUGAAACUGGUUGACUGGGAGUUCUCUGAGGGCUUAAGGACUGGAGGAAUGACAGUCCACCGAGGAGAGCUCUGCACUGCAAGGCAGCAAUCCAGGCUCACCAGGGCCUGGGCUAAGGCUUAAAAUAGUUACCAAUUCUCUGAAAGCAGGCACAGCAAGGGUGUUUGUGGAUUGUGCUUCUUUUGGAAGAGAAACAAGAAAUGGACAGCGAUGGGAUUUUGGUGCAAUAACGAGCGAUGCAGGGACCCCAGGCAGUGCAAAGGAGAGCUCCUCAUUGCCAAAAACCCAGCCUUUUUCAGCAGUUAGCUGGUUACCUGUUCACAUGGUUCUAAGGCACAAGCCCAGGUCAACCAAGCACCAUACCCCACAAUGUGCACAUGCAGCAGUCACAGCGUGUCUCACAUGUCUCACGUGUCUCACAUGUCUCACGUGUCUCACAUCUCUCAUGUCUCUGUACCCCUAGCUGAGUCACUCUCUCACAGUUCCCUUCUCCUUAGCCUAAGGAACAGGCCAGAGCCAUGUCACAAGGCUGCCCUUACAAGUAAGCCUUGCUUAUCAGUAACAGGAUUUGAAGAGAAGGGGAUGGAGAGGAGUUGUCUGGAUUUAUCCUCUGGGCUUUGGAGGGAACGAUGGGAGAGCAAAGUUCUGCCUGCGUGAGAAACCAGGAAUCAGAACUGUGGAAUGGUCUGAAAGCAGGGAGAGGUGGUGGGAAGGUGGAGAUGGGUUUGCAGGGUGACAUGGUUGCAGGAAAGGGGGAACAGUUCGGGCUUUGCAUCCCAAGGAGGCACAAGAGCACAGUGACUAUCCAUUUAGGGACUCAGUUCCACUAGAAAUAUCCCACUGUUUGGGAGUUUUUGGGAACUCUUACUGGCAGUGUUGGAACCGUCAGACCUGAGGCUGAUGAGUGUUCUGUGGUUUCUCUGUGGCUGUUGAUUCAGCCUUGGAGGUGAAGUCCCACCACUCAGCCCUGGCUCCCUCCCCAUCGGCAUCUCCCCUUCCCCCGUGUGGGACUCAUUUCCCAGCACAUCUCCAGCUCUGGGAAUCCCUGGCAGAUUACAGCGGGCUCAGUGCACAGGGAGGUUACCUGUAACAGACACCCCACCCCUGACACAUCUGAGGGAAGGAAGUCCCCUUGUCCCUGGCUGCUGGCUGAAAUGCUACUGCCUGUUCCACCCACUGCAUGAAACCCCAAGUAAAUAACCCAAGCAGUUACAGAGUAGGAUUACCUUGAAAUUUGUUUCCCUCCUAUCACUGUGAUUUGGUUGUCUAUGGGCAUUAACUCCACAUUGUAAUAAGCAAAGCCUCUGAAAUACCUUCGUGAGAAUUAGGGUUCUAUAAAUUAACUGAUUACUGAUAAAGCCUAAUUAUAAAUUAGGUCUUAUUAUCAGAAGCUUGUGAGCAACUCUGAAUGAAUUAAAGCUGUAGGAGCAGGAGUAUUUCAGUUAACUCUGUGAACUCUGAUAAAGGUCUGAAGAGGGGUUGUGCUCUGCCCUGCUCCCAGGGAGCUUCUACAGAAGGACAGCCUGACACAGCCCCUGCCUCCUGAAGUCAGUUCUUUGCUCCUUUCCCAUUUGCCCAAGGAGUGAGGAGAUCUCUUCUCCAGGGGGGAGAUCACUUCUCACCUGGUUCAAUAACACCCCGAGGUCCCACUGCUACAAGCAGAGGUGCUCAGGGGAUGAAGCCUGGGAGGCAGUGGGUUGAAGGGCUCAGAAAUAGCUUUGCUCUAACUUUCCACUGAAAAAAUCCUAAUUCUCACCAGCCAUUCUCUAACCCUCAUCCUACAAAUCCCCACUGUGACCUCAGUGCACACAAACGCCUGCCCAAGACUCACCUGCCAUUCCAGUUCCCCUGCCCAUGAAAGAAGUUGAAAUCCAUGGAAGAACUUGAAAUCCACGAGUUACAUCUUUUGGACUGAUAAAAAAGGAUGGAGAGAAUGCCAGGCCACCUCUUUUCACCUGGAUCUUCAUUCAGCACCUUCCUGUGCUCAAGGAGGGAAAACUCACGUGAAGCAGGAAUGCAGAGGAGCUCAGGGUGCCCUUGCAGGUGAGGUGCAGGGGGAUGGCCCUGGCUCAGAGGGCAUGAGAGGGCAGAACCACCUCGGAUCAAAGAGCCAGAUCAUUGGCAAAUGUCCUGUGCUCCCUUCCUUUGCCACAGCCAAUGGCCCAGGGAGUUGUCAGGGAGAUGGGAAGGGAAACGUGCAGAGGAAAUGCCCAGUUGUGUUUUUGGGAGUUUUCUUAGAGGCACCAAAGAGUACAAAGCAGACCAGAGCAGGUGCUUUCUUCACCUUUCUCUGUUGUUUUUGGACAAAUUGUGGCUUUUUAUCACCCUAAAUCAGCAAAAUAUUGAUAUUAGAGUCCAUAAAGAACAGGAAAAGUAGGACCACCCAUGAGUGCAAUCAGGAUUCCACUCCCUGACCCUUCCAACACCUGUUUCCAAGCCUUGUACCUGCACAUAGCUGGAAGUCUUCAGGACUGAUAUUUCCUGGGCUCUGUCUCUGCCUCCAGGGGCAAAGCCCUUUCUCAGAGUGAGGAAUGGGUCUCAACAAGCUGAUGGCUCCUCCUGGAUGAAAACUGCCCUGGAGAAUUGCUGUCACCAUCCUGUGAAGAUCCCACUCUAAGAGCUUUCCAGCAGUGGGAUGGGAGCUCAGCAUCCCAUGGAAGAUCCCUGAGGAACUCGUCAGAGUCCAGCUCAGUGUCCAGUGAUUUGGAUCUGUUCUAUGUGGAAUCACCAUUUCCUCCCAUGGCCCAACUCCUGGCACGAGGAGGAAGGACUGUGUUGUGCUCCAAUCCACCAGUGUACAUUUACAUGCCACAAAUCUGUUUCGUUUCCCCCAUAUUUGUAGUAAAAUACUGCUGGAUCUUGGCACCUGGGCUGCCAGGUAUCAGAGCUCCUUAGUGCUGUCACUGCAGGCAAACACAACCCCAACCAUGCACCAUUAGCACUACAAAGUGACACAGCUGUAGCUGUAGCUGUGCUAAUACUCUGCACUCUAUGAUAAUUACAAAUGCUUUUCAUACAGACGCUUCUUUUUUUAAGAGAGAGAGAGAAUCCUGAACAGAUUCUGAGCUGGCAGCACUGCAUGAAAAUCUUCUGUUCCAGGGCUUGAGAAUCAGGAAUCCCAGACUGGUUUGGGUGGGAAGGAACCUUAAAGUUCAUCCUGUCCCACCCCUGCCAUGAUCAGGGACACCUUCCACUGUCCCAGGUUGCUCCAAACCCUGUCCAUCUACUCCAUUUGUUAUAAUAUUGAACAAAACCAGCAGAACAUUUCAUAGUUUCAGCCCUACCACCUGCCCAUAUGACCCUUACUCUGUCACACACUCAGCC